rnacentral:tRNA from 1 species
UCCUGGUUAGCUCAGUUUGUAGAGCGCUCCACUGAAAAUGGGGAGGUCCCUGGUUCAAAAUUAGGACCAGGGG